CCUCAUUAGGGUAAAUUAGUUUCACUUAUUUACCUUCAUUCUCUCCUUUUUUCCCAAUAAGGUGUUUCUGAUACACGUGGUAGACCUAGAUAAAAUAAAAGCAGUGCCAAUAAAAAAAUAAAAAUCCAUGUUUGCUUUCCAGUCUAAAUGUUUGAAGGAGUCUGCACAGAUUGAACAUUGAGAGUGGGAUAGACCUCUACAUAAACCUCUUCUAC